CACGAACGCUGGCGGCGUGCCUAAUACAUGCAAGUCGAGCGCAGGAAGCCGUCUGAACCCUUCGGGGGGACGACGGUGGAAUGAGCGGCGGACGGGUGAGUAACACGUAAAGAACCUGCCCAUAGGUCUGGGAUAAUCACGAGAAAUCGGGGCUAAUACCGGAUGUGUCAUCGGACCGCAUGGUCCGCUGAUGAAAGGCGCUCCGGCGUCGCCACUGGAUGGCUUUGAGGUGCAUUAGCUAGUUGGUGGGGUAACGGCCCACCAAGGCGACGAUGCAUAGCCGACCUGAGAGGGUGAUCGGCCACACUGGGACUGAGACACGGCCCAGACUCCUACGGGAGGCAGCAGUAGGGAAUCUUCCACAAUGGACGAAAGUCUGAUGGAGCAACGCCGCGUGAACGAUGAAGGCUUUCGGGUCGUAAAGUUCUGUUGUAAGGGAAGAACAAGUGCCGCAGGCAAUGGCGGCACCUUGACGGUACCUUGCGAGAAAGCCACGGCUAACUACGUGCCAGCCGCCGCAGUAACAC
rnacentral:rRNA from 1 species